rnacentral:rRNA from 1 species
AUUGAACGCUGGCGGCAUGCCUUACACAUGCAAGUCGAACGGUAACAGGUCUUCGGAUGCUGACGAGUGGCGAACGGGCGGGUAAUACAUCGGAACGUGCCCGAUCGUGGGGGAUAACGAGGCGAAAGCUUUGCUAAUACCGCAUACGAUCUACGGAUGAAAGCGGGGGAUCUUCGGACCUCGCGCGGACGGAGCGGCCGAUGGCAGAUUCGGUAGUUGGUGGGAUAAAAGCUUACCAAGCCGACGAUCUGUAGCUGGUCUGGGAGGCUGAUCGGCCACACUGGGACUGGGACACGGCCCAGACUCCUGCGGGAGGCAGCAGUGGGGAAUGUUGGACAAAGGGCGAGAGCCUGAUCCAGCCAUGCCGCGUGCAGGAUGAAGGCCUUCGGGUUGUAAACUGCUUUUGUACGGAACGAAAAGCCUCUUUCUGAUAAAGAGGGGUCGUGACGGUACCGGAAGAAUAAGCACCGGCUAACUACGUG